GUCAUCAAUAAGCUAUUGGGGAUGGGAUUCAUCUUUGUGUUUUUUGGGAUGUUUCACCUCUUAAACUGCAGAUAUUAUCUGUUGUUAAUGAGUAUUCUUCAAAAUGUUAUUUGGAAUGGUUGUACACUUCUAGUUUAUUCAAAAUAUUAUAUUGGGCUUUUAGGCUUUAGCUUAUUCUUUAUAUUACUUCUGUGAAUAUUCUUGUAUAUAACAUUUGACAGAUCCCUAAACCUUAGAAUUAAUACCUAUCAAGAAGUUUUAUGGGAAAAGAUAUGGCUACUUUGGGAAUCUUGACGUGUCGAUCCUUUUGUGAGCAGGAUAUGUGAGUACCAUAUACUGACUAUGUGUCAGUAUACUUUUAUGGACAGUUACAAGAAAGUAAAAUGUUCAAAUAAAUAUGUCGAACAAUUAGCUAUUUCUGUUUUCUUCUAUGAAUUAUAUAAAGGCAUAUCUCAGAAGUAUUAUAGAUUUGGUUAUGACCCCUGCCAUAAAACGAGUAUCACAAUAAAUCAAGUCACACAAUAUUUUUAGUUUCCCAAUGCACAUAAGUUGUGUUUACAUUAUAUAAUAUUCAAUGUGCAGUAGCAUUAUGUCUAAAGAAAACAGUUUAUUUUAAUUUAAAAUACAUGUUUGCUGAAAAAUGCCACCAAUUAUCUGAAUCUUUAGCAAGUCACAAACAUGUUGCUGGUGGAAGAUCUUGCCUUUAUGUUGGCUGCUGACUGAUCAGGGUGGUGGUUGCCAAAGGUUGUGGUAACUGUGAUAAUGGAUUGACUGUCACAAAAGAUUUCCCUGUAGCAUGCAAUGGUAUUUGAUAGCAUUUUAUCCAUAGAAUGUCUUUCAAAAUUGAAGUCAGUCCUCUUGUAACUGGGUGUCCCAGGUUCUUGGCCUCCCCUGCUCCAAUGAUGGGGGAAGAGGCCCUGGAGGUGUGGUGUGCUUACCAUUUGUAUACAUAUCAUGGACCCAAAGAGUUUUGCAGAGAGCCAUUUAUUAGGCAGAGUGAGAGAGAGAGAGAAGUAGAGAGCGCUCCCAUGCUGUUGUGGGAGGGGAUCCCAGAGAGGGAAAUCUGCACAGGUAGAGAGGGUAAGACAGCUCCAACAUUGCCGUGAGAGGGGAUCCGGAGAAGGAGUCUACACAGGUAAGGGGCUGUGGAGUUUUAACUUUGAAGUUAUUCCUGCCCCAUUCAUGUUCUUGUCCAAUGAGAGCAGUUCUUUUAAACUUCCUCUGGAGUGAUUGAUCUUUGAUUCCAAUCCCAGAUUGGUUGCUUGGGCCCACAACAGAACCCCUCUUUCCAGAGAUUUGGGCGGGCUUUCUGAACAAAGGAAGCUCACCUGAAAUUUUGCCUAGCCUGCUGGAGGGAAAGUUAGAUAAAGAAUCCUAAGUUCCGGGAUGGGGAGAUGGAUGGAGGCAUGGUGCUGGGAAGUUCUUGCUUUGAAACCACACCACCUGUAGACUGGGGAAGAGAAAUUACAUAGUCCCUCAUGCUCAAACCCUGCUGCUGCUUUAUCAACUAAGUUUAGGAAAUAUUCUAAAUCCUUUUUUGUCAUUUCAACAGUGUUCACCGCAUUUUCAUCAGAAAUAGAUUUCAUUUCAGUAAAGAAAAAAAAAAAAAAACUUUCUUUGCUUAUCCAUAAGAAACAACUUCUCAUCCAUUGAAGUUCUAUCUCGAGGUUGCAGCAAUUCAGUCACAUCUUCAGGCUGCCCUUCUAGUUCUCAUGGUACUUCCACCACAUCAGCAGUUACUUCCUCCACAAAGUCUUGAAUCCCUCCAAGUCAUCUAUGAGGGUUGGAAUCAACAUCUUCCAAACUACUAUUAAUGUUGAUAUUUUCACUUCCUCCCAUGAUUCACAAAUGUUCUCAAUGGCAUCUAGAAUGGUGAAUCAUUUCCAGAAUUUCAAUUUAAUUGUCCAGAUCCAUCAGAAGAAUACUAUCUAUGGCAGCUACAACCUUAUAAAUGUGUAUUUCUUAAAUCAUAGAACUUGAACAACUUGAACGUAAAAAUUAUUCCUUGAUCCUUGAGCUGCAGAAUGGAUGUUAUUUGCAGCCAUGAAAACAACCUUCAUUUUCUAGGACAUCUCCAUCAGAGCUCUAGGAUGAUCAGAUGGAUUGACAAUGAGCAGUAAUGUUUUGAAAGAAAUCUUGUUUUCUGAGCAGUAGGCCCACUGUUUAUUUUUUGACAAUGGGCUUAAAAUAUUCAGUAAACCAUACCGUAAACAGAUGUGCUGUCAUACAGGCAUGUUCAUUUAUAGAGUACAAACAGAGUAGAUUUAACAUAAUCCUAAAGGCUCCAGGUUAUUUGGAAUGGCAAAUGAGCAUUGGCAUCAACUUAAAGUCAACAGCUGCAUCAGCCCCUA